CCUAGUGGCAGACGGGUGAGUAACGCGUGGUCAACCUACCGUUGAGUGGGGGAUAACUAGCCGAAAGGUUAGCUAAUACCGCAUACGAGUUUCGGGGGCAUCCCUGAACCUUAAAAGGAGCAAUCCGCUCGAUGACGGGACCGCGUCCCAUUAGCUAGAUGGUGGGGUAAUGGCCUACCAUGGCUCCGAUGGGUAGCUGGUUUGAGAGAGCGACCAGCCACACUGGGACUGAGAAACGGCCCAGACUCCUACGGGAGGCAGCAGUGAGGAAUUUUCCGCAAUGGGCGAAAGCCUGACGGAGCGACGCCGCGUGUGGGAAGAAGGCCUUCGGGUCGUAAACCACUGUCGAAGGGGACGAUAAUGACGGUACCCUUGGAGGAAGCCCCGGCUAACUACGUGCCAGCAGCCGCGGUAAGACGUAGGGGGCGAGCGUUAUUCGGAAUUAUUGGGCGUAAAGCGCUCGUAGGCGG
rnacentral:rRNA from 1 species